rnacentral:piRNA from 1 species
UAGUCUGUUUCAGGAGACUGAAGUCCCUGCA